rnacentral:rRNA from 1 species
UACGUAGGGUGCAAGCGUUAAUCGGAAUUACUGGGCGUAAAGCGUGCGCAGGCGGUUUUGUAAGGCUGACGUGAAAUCCCCGGGCUCAACCCGGGAAUUGCGUUGGAGACUGCAAGGCUGGAGUCUGGCAGAGGGGGGUAGAAUUCCACGUGUAGCAGUGAAAUGCGUAGAGAUGUGGAGGAACACCGAUGGCGAAGGCAGCCCCCUGGGUCAAGACUGACGCUCAUGCACGAAAGCGUGGGGAGCAAACAGG